CCUGUGAGGCAGAGAGGCCUCCGUUGGACACCAGAGAGAGGCCACUGGGUGACAGAAGGAUGCCAGCAAAACCUCCUUAUCCGUCUUUCCAUGGGGGCAGAAGGGAAACAGCGGCUGUGGAACCAGAUCAGGGUCCAGUGUGCUUUGAAGAUGUUGCUGUUCGUUUCACGGACG